rnacentral:rRNA from 1 species
GACGAACCGUGCGAACGUUAUUCGGAAUCACUGGGCGUAAAGCGCACGUAGGCGGCUUUUUAAGUCAGGGGUGAAAUCCUGGAGCUCAACUCCAGAACUGCCUUUGAUACUGAGAAGCUUGAGUCCGGGAGAGGUGAGUGGAACUGCGAGUGUAGAGGUGAAAUUCGUAGAUAUUCGCAAGAACACCAGUGGCGAAGGCGGCUCACUGGCCCGGUACUGACGCUGAGGUGCGAAAGCGUGGGGAGCAAACAGG